rnacentral:tRNA from 1 species
AGUUAAUUAACUUAAUGAAAAGUUUAUGUUUUGAAAGCAUAAUAAAAGAAGUUUGAUUCUUCUAUUAACUU